rnacentral:rRNA from 1 species
CCUACGGGGGGCAGCAGUAGGGAAUCUUUCACAAUGGGCGAAAGCCUGAUGGAGCAACGCCGCGUGCAGGAUGAAGGCCUUCGGGUUGUAAACUGCUUUUAUAAGCGAGAAAUAUGAUGGUAACUUAUGAAUAAGGAUCGGCUAACUACGUGCCAGCAGCCGCGGUCAUACGUAGGAUCCGAGCAUUAUCCGGAGUGACUGGGUGUAAAGAGUUGCGUAGGUGGCAUAAUAAGUAGCUAGUGAAAUCUGGUGGCUCAACCAUUCAGACUAUUAGCUAAACUGUUAAGCUCGAGACCGUUAGGGGUAACUGGAAUUUCUAGUGUAGGAGUGAAAUGCGUAGAUAUUAGAAGGAACACCAAUAGCGUAGGCAGGUUACUGGGACGGUUCUGACACUAAGGCACGAAAGCGUAGGGAGCAAACGGGAUUAGAUACCCCAGUAGUC